UUCAUUAAACAGAACUGACCACUGAUGGUGUUCCAACAGUCAAUGGAUUUACAUAAGGGAUGAACAUGACCCAUUACCAGUCUGCAGCUCUGUACCUCAAAACCCAGAGGAGCCUGUCCUUCUUGACCUCCAAUCAUAGAAGAUUCCCAGUUUUUCAGUAACAGUUGUGGAAGACACUUUGCUCAUAGAAUGGUGGUGAUGCACAAAUGCUAGCUUUGGAAUCCUGACUAGAAGUGUGGGAUCGCUCAUAUGUCAGGUCACUGGAGCCAGGCCUGCCUGAGGAUGUUUACCUGUACACGGCCAGAUGUUCUGAACAGCAGAAAGCCAUAUUGGGAUAAAGACUGAGAAAGAAAGGACAGGAUCAGAAAACAAUACCAGGAAAAUAGACAGAUAACAGGAGUAGAAAAAUGAAGCAGCCCCAAAAAGGGGAUGAGAGAACACUGACCAAGAUGGAAUUGUGAGCUGAAAUGGGAAACACAACAUGGCCUCCUUUGUACUUUGUGCAAAAUAUGCCCCAAGAGACAAUGUGAAAAUGCUAUGAAACAAGAAAGUUUGGUACAGAGACAUGGGGACAUACUACAUCCUCACAUAGUGGCUGCCUGCUCAUAGUAGCUUCAUAGCCAUCUCCUCUGAGAAAUUUCCUGAGAUUUUGGAGUAGGCAUGUGCAAUGGCUACACUAAAAUGAAGGUUGGGGAGGAGGCAGAAAUAUGACAAAGACUGAAAAAAAAUGGAAUCUGUGCAUAAUCAUCAUUGGGAAAAUUCAGUGAUGGAAAGUUCAGUGCUUUUCCGAGAAUCAGGAUGACAAUGA